rnacentral:rRNA from 1 species
GGUAGUGUAGUUAAUAGCUGCAUUAUUUGACGUUAGCGACAGAAGAAGCACCGGCUAACUCCGUGCCAGCAGCCGCGGUAAUACGGGAGGGUGCGAGCGUUAAUCGGAAUUACUGGGACGUAAAGACGCAUGCAGGUGGUUUGUUAAGUCAGAUGUGAAAGGACCCGGGGCGUCAACCUACGGAAUUGCAUUUAGAAACUGGCAGACUAGAGUACUGUAGAGGGGGGUAGGAAUUUCAGGUGUAGCGGUGAAAUGCGUAGAGAUCUGAAGGAAUACCGGUGGCGAAGGCGGCCCCCUGGACAGAUACUGACACUCAGAUGCGAAAGCGUGGGGAGCAAACAGGAUUAGAUACCCUGGUAG